CAGGUUGCGGUUUCGAAUAAAAAGAGCAGAAAUUUGGCUGCUGAAGUUGGCAUGGAUAAAGCAUUACUGCGACUUUCUUUCUGUUCAAUACACCGCUACGCUUCCAGAAUGGUAUUCAGCGAAAGAAGAACAAACAGCUGAGCCACAGCUGUUGUAGGCUGUGUAGUAACAAUGCCGCUCAUGAUCAAUAUUCUUGAAUUCUUGAUGUGCUACAUAAGCAAUGGUCAAUCCAUUUGUAUCGUGUC